GUAGGGAAUCUUCCACAAUGGACGAAAGUCUGAUGGAGCAACGCCGCGUGAACGAUGAAGGCCUUCGGGUCGUAAAGUUCUGUUGUAAGGGAAGAACAAGUGCCGCAGGCAAUGGCGGCACCUUGACGGUACCUUGCGAGAAAGCCACGGCUAACUACGUGCCAGCAGCCGCGGUAAUACGUAGGUGGCAAGCGUUGUCCGGAAUUAUUGGGCGUAAAGCGCGCGCAGGCGGCCUCUUAAGUCUGAUGUGAAAGCCCCCGGCUCAACCGGGGAGGGCCAUUGGAAACUGGGAGGCUUGAGUAUAGGAGAGAAGAGUGGAAUUCCACGUGUAGCGGUGAAAUGCGUAGAGAUGUGGAGGAACACCAGUGGCGAAGGCGACUCUUUGGCCUAUAACUGACGCUGAGGCGCGAAAGCGUGGGGAGCAAACAGGAUUAGAAACCCUAGUAGUCC
rnacentral:rRNA from 2 species